CCUGCUCUGACUAAGGCAAGGGUUUUCUCCAUCCUCCCCCUCUUGGUUGCCUGUCACUGUUUCUUCCUGCAUCCCGUGGGGUUUCUUCGCUCUCGUCACCUUCUGGGAGAAGAACCCUGGGGAAGAAGCCAAAUGCGGAUGGACAGCAGGAUACACAAUUCUCUAGUGCUCUCAGGGAUGAAAAAAUAAAUAAGCUAAAGUGAAAAUCUUUAAACCACCUGAGCUUAAAACAGGCCUUGUUUCUCCCUUAGCUAAGAGAACAAGACAAACUCCAUCUUGGCUCUUUCACUGGCAGCCUCUUCCUCAAGGACUUAACUUGUGCAAGCUGACUCCCAGCACAUCCAAGAAUGCAAUUAACGGAUAAGAUACUGUGGCGAGCUAUAUCCGCAGUGCCCAAGAAUUCGUCUGAUUGAUAACGCCCAAAGCCCUGUGUCUAUCACCUUGUAAUAGUCUUAAAGCCCCUGCACCUGGAACUGUUUACUUUCCUGUAACCAUUUAUCCUUUUACCUUUUUGACUACUUAACUUCUGUAAAAUUGUUUUAACUAGACCCCCCGCCCCCCUUCCUAAACCAAGAUGUAAAAGUUAAUCAAGCCCCUUUCUUGGGGCCAAAUUUUGAGCGUUAGCCGUCUCUCGGUCGCUGGCUAAUAAAGGACUUUUAAUUCAUCUCAAAGUGUGGCGUUUUUCUAACUCGCUCGGGUACAACAUGGGAUCUGAUGCUGUCUCCAGGCAGUGUCAGAAUUGAAUUGAAGGAAGCCAUCUGGUGUCCACUGCAGAACUGAUGGCUUGCUCGGUAUUUGAGGGUGGG
rnacentral:lncRNA from 10 species